UACGGAGGGGGCUAGCGUUGUUCGGAAUCAUUGGGCGUAAAGGGCGCGUAGGCGGCCGAUCAAGUCGGGGGUGAAAUCCCUCGGCUCAACUGAGGAAUUGCCUUCGAUACUGUUCGGCUUGAGUCCUGGAGAGGGUAGCGGAAUUCCCGGUGUAGCGGUGAAAUGCGUAGAGACCGGGAAGAACACCAGUGGCGAAGGCGGCUACCUGGACAGGUACUGACGCUGAAGCGCGAAAGCUAGGGGAGCAAACAGG
rnacentral:rRNA from 1 species